GACGUAGGGCGCGAGCGUUGUCCGGAUUUAUUGGGCGUAAAGAGCUCGUAGGCGGCUUGUCGCGUCGUCCGUGAAAACUUGGGGCUCAACCCCAAGCUUGCGGUCGAUACGGGCAGGCUAGAGUUCGGUAGGGGAGACUGGAAUUCCUGGUGUAGCGGUGAAAUGCGCAGAUAUCAGGAGGAACACCGGUGGCGAAGGCGGGUCUCUGGGCCGAAACUGACGCUGAGGAGCGAAAGCGUGGGGAGCAAACAGG
rnacentral:rRNA from 1 species